UAGCUUGUCGAUCCUCCAACAAACGAUUAAUUAUAAUAUCGGGAGAUCUAUGAGGUUAUCAAUUCCUUAAUUUGAUCCGAAUUUCUCCCCAAACCACCACAGCUUUGAUGAUGCGAACUGAAAGGAGACAUGGAGACAGACAAUCAACUCAGCAGAAUUAUAAGCGUUUUAAGUUUCUAAAGGUGUGUGAGUUUUUGCUGAUUUUGGAUAUUAAUUUACAUAGAAGGUGUGUGAUUUUUUGCAGACUUUGGAUAUUAUUUUUGAAUUCAACAAUACUUGAUUUAUAUGUCUCUGGUUUUGGAACAGUUUAGUACA